rnacentral:tRNA from 1 species
AAAAGAUUAGUUUAUUAAAAUAUCAAAUUGUAAAUUUGAAGAAGAGUCUUUUG